CGACCAGCCUCGCCGCAGCUGUACCUUAAGCGGAAAGUAAAGGGGGCAGGGGGCUCGCGGGAGAGAAGUAGAAAAAGAAAUGAAACUUGACACCGGAUGAAUAGCGAACUUGGGGAGAGGCAGAGACUCGGGUGACCGUGUGCCCCGGAGCAAAGUCCGGGGAAGAGCCGCAAACUCACGCGGCCUCGGUUUUGUUCAUUUUUUAGGAAUUGUCGGUCGUGGACCAGCGACACUGGCACCCUCAGAGACCAUUAUUACUAUCCACGACUUCCAUAGAUUUUAGAGUCCCCCCACCCCCUGCAUUAUCUCUUUUGAUCCUGUUGACAUAGACAAAGAAUUCAGCUAAGGAUCCAGAGAUGCUGGGGAAGGAAAAGUCAGGCUGGGAUUCUCCCUGCUUCUCAGAAAAUGCAGCUGUGAUGCAUGUAACCGAUUAUGUCUAGAGAUCAGACUCCAAUGACAGAGCCCGGAAGUGGAGGGAGAACAGGGGCUCUCCUAUGAUGGAAAAGAAUCCGAUGACAAGGUCUCAUGGAGCAAAGAGAAUUCUGACCGAGUCCUCCAGAGGAGAGCCUAGAUCUCAGUCACCUUUCCAGUCCGGGACGCGGUGGCGCAGGCCCUCUGCCAGGUGCUGCUCAGCAUGUCAGCCCACGUCCACACUGCCACGAGGGAACCUUCUGGAACACACACUUGACUGCGACACUCAUCUGUUUCAGAGUGUCCAACAAUUGAUUUCCGUGCUGCUUCCAAGCCUAAUCCAGCCUCACGAACUACAGGCCCUCGAACACGUCCAACACCACCAGGACUCCAGGCUUUCGUCAAUACUGCUCUCUCAGCCUGGACCGUCCCCUCCACUCCACACAGUUCCCUGAAAGCGAACAGUGUGGCUGUCAUCUUCGCACAACCCGUGUGUCCCAGCCUUGUGCCUGGCACAUAAUAGGGACUUAGUAACUUUUGAAUAAAGAGCUCCCAGGUUUUUAAAAAAAAA